CCUACGGGAGGCAGCAGUGGGGGAUAUUGCACAAUGGGGGAAACUCUGAUGCAGCAACGCCGCGUGUGUGAAGAAGGUUUUCGGAUCGUAAACCACUGUUCUUGGAGAAGAUAAUGACGGUAACCAAGGAGAAAGCUCCGGCUAACUACGUGCCAGCAGCCGCGGUAAUACGUAGGUAGCAAGCGUGGCCCGGAUUUGCGGGGGGCAAAGGGUGCGUAGGCGGUCUUGCAAGUCAGACGGGAAAGCCACAGGCUCAAACUGUGGACUGCGUUUGAAACUGUGGGGCUUGAGUGAAGUAGAGGUGGGCGGAAUUCCCGGUGUAGCGGUGAAAUGCGUAGAGAUCGGGAGGAACACCAGUGGCGAAGGCGGCCUACUGGGCUUUAACUGACGCUGAGGCACGAAAGCAUGGGUAGCAAACAGGAUUAGAUACCCCUGUAGUC
rnacentral:rRNA from 1 species